AUGCUUGCUUUGGCAGCAUAUAUACUAAAACUGGAAUGAAGAUUAGCAUGGUGCCUUGCAAGGAUGACACGCAGAUUCGUGAAGCAUUCCAUAUUUUU
rnacentral:snRNA from 1 species